ensembl:snoRNA small nucleolar RNA SNORA26
AUAACUGAGAAAACAUACGCAGUGCCUUAAGGUGCUAACACAGAAGGGUAAAAAGUAAGUCUCGAUAAAACCCAGAGAAGAGAUGGUAAAACUCCUCUUUGGAUCCUGUCUGGAGUCACAGCC